rnacentral:rRNA from 1 species
ACGAACGCUGGCGGCGUGCUUAACACAUGCAAGUCGAACGGAAAGGCCCUGCUUUUGUGGGGUGCUCGAGUGGCGAACGGGUGAGUAACACGUGAGUAACCUGCCCUUGACUUUGGGAUAACUUCAGGAAACUGGGGCCAAUACCGGAUAGGAGCUCCUGCUGCAUGGUGGGGGUUGGAAAGUUUCGGCGGUUGGGGAUGGACUCGCGGCUUAUCAGCUUGUUGGUGGGGUAGUGGCUUACCAAGGCUUUGACGGGUAGCCGGCCUGAGAGGGUGACCGGCCACAUUGGGACUGAGAUACGGCCCAGACUCCUACGGGAGGCAGCAGUGGGGAAUAUUGCACAAUGGGCGGAAGCCAGAUGCAGCAACGCCGCGUGCGGGAUGACGGCCUUCGGGUUGUAAACCGCUUUCGCCUGUGACGAAGCGUGAGUGACGGUAAUGGGUAAAGAAGCACCGGCUAACUACGUG